rnacentral:misc_RNA from 1 species
GGACUACCAGGGUAUCUAAUCCUGUUUGCUCCCCACGCUUUCGCGCCUCAGCGUCAGUUACAGACCAGAAAGUCGCCUUCGCCACUGGUGUUCCUCCACAUCUCUACGCAUUUCACCGCUACACAUGGAAUUCCACUUUCCUCUUCUGCACUCAAGUCCCCCAGUUUCCAAUGACCCUCCACGGUUGAGCCGUGGGCUUUCACAUCAGACUUAAGGGACCGCCUGCGCGCGCUUUACGCCCAAUAAUUCCGGACAACGCUUGCCACCUACGUAUUACCGCGGCUGCUGGCACCU